rnacentral:misc_RNA from 1 species
GAGUUCAUGCCCUCACGGGUAGAAACGCCCACCCUUGUGUAUUAUAUCUUUGCUGCUUCGGCAGGCCGCCUUCGGGCACCGGCUCCGGCUGGAUCGUGCCUGCCAAAGGAAACCCAAACUCUGAAUGUUAGUGUCGUCUGAGUACUAUCUAAUAGUUAAAACUUUCAACAACGGAUCUCUUGGUUCU